UACGUAGGGACCAAGCGUUGUUCGGAAUUACUGGGCGUAAAGGGCGCGUAGGCGGCUUAACAAGUCACUUGUGAAAUCUCCGGGCUUAACUCGGAACGGCCAAGUGAAACUGUUAUGCUAGAGUGCAGAAGGGGCAAUCGGAAUUCUUGGUGUAGCGGUGAAAUGCGUAGAUAUCAGGAGGAACACCGGUGGCGAAGGCGGAUCUCUGGGCCAUUACUGACGCUGAGGAGCGAAAGCGUGGGGAGCGAACAGG
rnacentral:rRNA from 1 species